rnacentral:rRNA from 1 species
CGGCGGACGGGUGAGUAAUGCCUAGGAAUCUGCCUGGUAGUGGGGGACAACGUUUCGAAAGGAACGCUAANACCGCAUACGUCCUACGGGAGAAAGCAGGGACCUUCGGGCCUUGCGCUAUCAGAUGAGCCUAGGUUGGAUUAGCUAGUUGGUGAGGUAAUGGCUCACCAAGGCGACGAUCCGUAACUGGUCUGAGAGGAUGAUCAGUCACACUGGAACUGAGACACGGUCCAGACUCCUACGGGAGGCAGCAGGU